rnacentral:tRNA from 1 species
AAAGUAAUAAGUUAAUAAAACUUUAAUCGUUCAAAUAUUAAAUUGAAGAGCUUUUCUUCUUACUUUU